rnacentral:tRNA from 1 species
GGGUGACUAGCUCAACGGUAGAGCAUCGGACUUCCGCUGGUUCUGAGUUCGAAUCUCAGGUCACCCA